GACGAACGCUGGCGGCGUGCUUAACACAUGCAAGUCGAACGGAAAGGCCCUGCUUUUGUGGGGUGCUCGAGUGGCGAACGGGUGAGUAACACGUGAGUAACCUGCCCUUGACUUUGGGAUAACUUCAGGAAACUGGGGCUAAUACCGGAUAGGAGCUCCUGCUGCAUGGUGGGGGUUGGAAAGUUUCGGCGGUUGGGGAUGGACUCGCGGCUUAUCAGCUUGUUGGGGGGGUAGUGGCUUACCAAGGCUUUGACGGGUGGCCGGCCUGCGAGGGUGACCGGCCACAUUGGGACUGAGAUACGGCCCAGACUCCUACGGGAGGCAGCAGUGGGGAAUAUUGCACAAUGGGCGGAAGCCUGAUGCAGCAACGCCGCGUCCUGGAUGACGGCCUUCGGGUUGUAAACCGCUUUCGCCUGUGACGAAGCGUGAGUGACGGUAAUGUGUAAAGAAGCACCGGCUAACUACGUG
rnacentral:rRNA from 1 species